ACAAGCGGUGGAGUAUGUGGUUAAUUCGAUGCAACGCGAAGAACCUACCUGGUCUUGACAUCCCGGAGACCCUUAGGAAACUAGGGGGUGCUUCCAUCUGGAAGAAUCUGGAGACAGGUGCUGCAUGGCUGUCGUCAGCUCGUGUCGUGAGAUGUUGGGUUAAGUCCCGCAACGAGCGCAACCCUUGCCUUUAGUUGCCAGCAGUUCGGCUGGGCACUCUAAAGGGACUGCCGGUGUUAAACCGGAGGAAGGUGGGGAUGACGUCAAGUCCUCAUGGCCUUUAUGACCAGGGCUACACACGUACUACAAUGGCCGAUACAAAGGGCAGCGACACUGCGAGGUGAAGCCAAUCCCGUAAAAUCGGUCUCAGUCCGGAUUGGAGUCUGCAACUCGACUCCAUGAAGUUGGAAUCGCUAGUAAUCGUGGAUCAGCAUGCCACGGUGAAUACGUUCCCGGGCCUU
rnacentral:rRNA from 1 species